UGUUUCCACUUCAGGUUUGCCUCACUCGUAUAAGAGGGAUACUAGUGGGCCUCCGGCGAUGCCUUCGGAAAUAGCCACGGCUUCAGAGCAUGGCCUCCGCGGCGGGGCCAUCGCCGUCAGGCGGUUUUCUCCUCCACCGAGGCUUCGAGGUUUCUUACGGCGUUGGAUUGAAGCAAGCGCCUCUCGGCGGUCAAUGCGGGAGGAGGAGGAGGAGGACGCUCCUGGCGUCUCCGCCCAUCAGAGCGAAGCAAGGGGAGAGUCCGUUGCAGGACAAGAAGUCCGGAAUUUGCAGAUGAUACUUGGAAGGCCGCAGCAUGCUUAGCUAUGGAUUGAACAUGGCAUUAAUGCUACGGAUACAGCAGAAGCAGUGAGUUUUGAAUAGUAAUCAAUCUAUUUUAGGCUGAUGAAUAAUGCAAUUUUUCUACGAAAAUUAUAUGGGCUUUCUACUACUAAUCUGUGCAAGUUUGCUCCAAUGGUUAUAUAGUUUGUUGCUUCUGUUUUUUUGUUUUUUUUGAAAUGACUCUAAAAUGUCUGAUAGUGUGAAUGCAUUGGAAUUUCAUCCCCGCACUCCGAUAACAUUAAGAAGAUGUCAUUAUUGUAACUUUGUGACACUUUGUUAAGCCCUAAUCAACACUUGUAUCAUUGUUGAUAUCUCUUUGCAAGGUGAGUAUUAUAGGAGUCAUAUAGGCAUCCUUCUCUAGUAGCCUGUGAAAAGACCAGACAUGAGUUGAGCAUGUACACUUAUGAUCAUGGUCUGCCGAACCGGCCGGUACGGGCCGGUUCGGCCCGGUACGGACCGGUCUGACUUGGAACCGGUACCCGGACAGCGUGGAAACCGGUUCCAGCUGUUUUCAGGCCGAUCUCGAUUGGUAUGCAUGUGUACCGGUCGUGUACCGGCCGGUUCGCACCGGUACAUUUUUUUUUCGAUUGAAAAGCGGGCAGAGCGCCCGCGCAGGCACGGGGCCACACGCUCGCGUGCGGGGCGGUGUUGAGGACCCCCCACAAACACCGCUAUCCAAGCUCGCGACCAAGGGAGAUUCAAGGCUCGAAAAAUGCCAAAGGAGGGUCAUGCCAAGCCCCUUCACACUUGGCCAAGCCUUGGCCAAGUGCCUCUAAGGUCGGCUAAGACAAGGUACAGUAGGCCAAAGACACGACGCAGCCAUGUGCGGCACAAGCUGCGCUCAUGCGCACCCGCCGCACGCGUCUGUGCGCGUGUUGCGAACCCUGCUCCAUCGAGCUAAAUUUCAGCCAGCACAAGCGAGGCCAACCUCGCUCAAGGCCAAUACUCGGGGCAACUCCAUUGUUUGGAGGCUUGGCCGAGCCUUGGCCAAGUAUUGCAGCAGCCAGUCCGACCUUAUGCAGGCCCUCCACAACGCCUACACGAGGUUCGAGGUCACCACAAGCAUCAGCCCAAGAGGACUGUGCGCUCGACCAAAGGCCACAUGCAACACCUCUUGACCGUAGCCACUCGGCCUGCGCAUAGCGCUUGCCAAAGCGCCCGUGCGCUAGGCCCUUAACCGCAAGGACUUCGGCCCUCGCACUAGCAGCAACGCGCGGCCAACCGGGUGUCCACUCUGCAGCACCAGGCGGCCAACCACGCGCCCGCACAGCCACAGCUGCGCGCGGACCCCCACGCGCUCGGGCCUCCACGCGCCCAUUCAUCCCCAGGAGCGCGGGGCCAACCGCGCGUGCACACCUCAGGCGUGCUGAUGGGGGCUCACGGUCCAAAGCCCCUCACGAUGCCCUUUUUCUCGUGCUCCUUGCGUGCGCCUCCAAAAAUUGCUGAUGAUGGACCGAUUGUUGGUAACGCCGGUGGAAUAACUCAAUACAAAGAUUAACAAUGUAGGCAAACUGAAUUUUAUUCCACUCAAUUGAAAAACAAAUAACAAGAACAAAGAAAACAAAAAAAAUCUAGCAAGGGAUUGAAGAGAUCCCUUUCUAACCUAAUCUAGUGGAGAUUGAUGCAUCUACUACUAGCCCAAGUUCUAGAAAACAAGAUCUAAGGACCGAAAUCAGCACAAACACCGCCCAAGCCUUACGGUCGACUCUCAUAAGAAAACAAGACUAAACUCAACUCUGGGAUUGCUCUAGGAUGCCUCAUAAUGGCCCCUUACAACUUUAUUUAUUGACCCAAGACUCUAGACAAAAUUAAGUAACUCUCCUUAAGAUAAACAUGGAAAAUCGUCUUUCCACGGGAUGUGUCCCGGUUGACCGAGUCGUGCGACCCGGUUGUCCCAGUCUGGCCGAGGUCGGCUCGGCCUUCGGCGGGGUCCGAGGUCGGCCUGGCCUGAGGUCGGCUCAGCUUUCGACAAGGCCGAAAGUCGGCCUAGCCUCUGGCCGAGGUCAGCUCGGCUUGAGGUCGGCCUGGCCUGAGGUCGGCUUGGCCUUCGGCAGGACCCGAGGUCGGCUUGGCCUGAGGUCGGCUUGGCCUUCGGCAGGGCCCGAUUUUUCUUCCCGCGCGAGUUUACUCUUGAGCUUCCGAGGCCCGGGGCUUGGGUGACCGACCCUCCCCGAGGUCGGAUUAGAGCGUAGGUGGAGAUUGCCUGUUGGGUUGAUGGGGCGAGGUCUGGCGCGCAGGCUGAUCCCACGCGGUGCCGGAGUCGUGGAUGAACCUCAUGGUCGGCUAAGGGUCGGCUGGCCACAAAACACAUCAUUUGGCCACUUUGGCCCUCGGUUGGCACAUAGUCCUCUCUCGGCUUGGCGCUACCUCGGCGUCGCUUGCGUGGGUCCUCAACAAACCCCCUUCCUUGAAAAAUAUCCUUGCCCCCAAGGAUAUGCUUUGAGUGUCGUCGAACUCCUUCUUCAUUGGCUUCUUGUGUAGCUUCUUCUUUAGGCAUUCGGCCGUAUAGUGUCUCCAACAUAUUGGCCUCACACGGCCUUAUGUCAUUGUUGCCCCAAGCGGUCCACUUCCUCAUCCGUAUAGUGUCUCCAAUCUCCGAAGCCAUGAAAUUCCAAGUACCACAUCUAGUCCUACCAACUGUAGUACAUGUAAAUCAAUACUAAUUUAAACCUUUUGGACCCUCAUUUUUAUAUCCUUCACAAUCUCCUCACACUUCAUCCUCUCUCUACUCGCAAUUUUUACCUUAAAGGGCUCCACCGGUACACCUUUCAAGCCCACCUUUUGAAGUGUCUCUGCGUUAAUAAAAUUAUGUGAAGAGCCCGAGUCAAUCAAUAAAGAAACUUCAUGCGUACCGAUCCAUGCCAUAAGCUGCAUAGUAGAAGAUUUUGAACUCCCGACAUGACAUGUAAUGAAAGUUUAGCUUCUUUGAUCGCUUCAUAAUCCUCGGCCUUCUUUUGAUCAGCUUUGUCACCAUCUUCAUCAGAAAAUUCAGACACCUCGUCCUCUUCCUCGCUGCUUGCAUCAAGGACGUAGAUUUGACCGGUCUUGCAACGAUGCUCCCAGCUCCACUUUUUACUGCACUUGAAACAUAGUCCUUUUUUAAUGUAAUCCUUUAGCUCAUCACGAGUCAGUUUUUUUACCUCCUUUGGCCGGUGUUUGUUGUUGGUUCUGGCCUCUUCUUUGCCUCCAUUUGUCGCCUUUGAUGGUAGGGAUUCGGUGUGCUUGCUGCCCGCACUAUCCUUGGACAUUUGCUGCUCCGGGUAGUAGCUUUGGUCUAUGAUUUCCGCUAUGCGCAUUGCUUCUUGUAGCUGCGUUGGUUGUUUGAGUUUGAUUUCUUUGGCUAGCCACGGUUUGAGGCCGUCGAUGAAGGUACCAAGUAAAGCUUCGUCGGACCAUCCGCUGACCAUUGUUUGCAAUUGCCAGAACUCGUUGAUGUAGGUUUGGACUUUGCCUUCUUGCUUGAGUUUUGCAAGUUGGCCAUGGUGAUUGAUAACGGGGGAAGGUCCCUAUUGCUUUAUGAAUUCAUCAACAAAGGCAGUCCAACCCAAUCUUCUCCCCUCUUUUUCAUGCAAUGCCCGGAUCUACCUCCACCAUCGGCUAGCCUUACCUUCUAAGUGGAAACUUGCUAGGGCAAGCCGAUCAGCCUAUGGAAUAUCAUAAACAUAAAAGUAUUGAUCCGCCUUGUUAAACCACUUAUACGGGUCUCCUCCUCCAAACUUUGGGAAGUCAAUUUUGGGUUUCCUAAGCCCUUCUUCUUUAGGCCGUGGACCCCUAUAGUCAUCAUCUCCAAAGUCAUCACCCCAUAUGUUUCUUCCUCUCCUUGCCAUGGGUUCUCUCCAGCCGUGAGGCCUUUGAGCAUGAAAGGAUCUUUCUUUGGCCUCAUCACGACUUUUAUGGCCAUUACUAACCCGCUCAUCAUCAAGCCACCUCUCAAACACUAAGCUCUUGGCUUCAACUCUUCCUCCCCUUCGUGAAUGAUGCCUAACGCCAUGAUCUAUAUGAUGGGUACCCUGAAGCUAAUGGCAUCACUCUCAUACCUUGCCCGGCCCUGUCGUGUGGCAUGCGAUCUAGGCACUUCUUCUUGCACCCUCUUAUGUUCCCUCUCUAGUAUCCUCCUUUCCAACCUCUCAAUGGUGGCAUUAUUCUCCCUCCUUAUUUCAGCCAUAUUCGCAGCCAAAGUAUUGGACAAAGUUUCUAAUGCCCGGUUAAGGUUGGCUGAACUAACUUCAAGGGCCUCUAACCUCUUAUCUUGAUUGUUGUUUCGGGGGGACUCUAUCUCUUUUUAACCCUCUGUUUUAGGACUCUAAAACCCUGAGAUAACAGCCCCUCAAACUCCCAAAAACUAGGAUUCAACCGGCCCCAAAAACUUGCUGCGUACCAAAAUUUCUGGACUGCAGAAAAUUUCUGCAGCAGUCCACAAACUUCAAAAGCAAAUGACACCUUCAAAAUAGACCCAAAUCAACCCCCAACCUCCUGCAGUUAUCACCCAAAGGAUGAACCAACCCACCUGAUCUGUACACUACUCAAUCAGCUUCCGACAGGGGUUUUACAAAAAUAAAAAUAGAAACUUAAUAUCCUCCAAUCGAAUACAAAUUCAAGCCCAAUACAAGAUGUAGAAUUUUUAUAAACCUCACCAAAAGAUAAAAGUCAAAUUGCAAGUCUCUUUCUCAACACAAAGAGGUCUUGAUGAUCUAUUUGUUCUCUGAAACACUGUAGUUGGGGAAGGCGCACAAGGUACUACCAGUAGCCUUCCUUUAUGCGGCCCCUAAUAUACCCUACAGCAGAUCAGUUGGGUAAAAUAGCAUUGGGUACUACUAGUAGCCUCUCCGUUGUGCUAUCCCUAGUUUGAAUAAAAUAGAAUCAAGAGAACUCUUUUUUCUUACAAUAAAAGGCUCUCACAAUAUAUCAAGACUAUAAAUAUCCCCAAUACAAUCAGAUCUCACCAAUAAAAAAUCCAGAUCUGAUUUUUAACUUCAGAUCUAAUAAGAAUAUACAAGGAAAAUUCAGAUCUGAAGAUUGAUAUUCAGACAUUACCUCCUUGAGGGAUUCUCUCAACGAAAGCACCAAUUGAUGGGGGCUUACGGUCUAAAGCCCCUUACCAUUCCCUUUUCCUCACGCUCGUUGCGUGCGCCUCCAAAAUUGCUGAUGAUAGACCGAUUGUAGGUAACACCGGUGGAAUAACUCAAUACAAAUAUCAACAAUGAAGGCAAACUGAAUUCUAUUCAACUCAAUUGAAGAACAAAUAACAAGAACAAAGAAAACAAAAGAAAUCUAGCAACGGAUUGAAGAGAUCCCUUUCUAGCCCAAUCUAGUGGCGAUUGAUGUAUCUACCACUAGCCCAAGUCUUAGAACAUAAGAUCUAAGGACCCAAAUCGGCACAAACACCGCCCAAGCCUUACGGCUAAGGCUGCAAAUGGGUCGGGUCCUCCCGAGACCCGAACCGGCCCGACCCGCGUAGACCCGACCCGACCCGAAUUUUAGGACCCGCGGGUCCGGGUCGGGUCCUAAAAUUGGAACCGAAUCAUUUUUUGGGUUGGGUCUGGGUUUACCGAACGGACCCGACCCGACCCGAAUGGACUCGAAGAGAGAAAGAGAGAGGAGGAAAAAAGCAAAAGAAAGUUAUUCUCUGUGUGUGUGGGUCGUGGCACUAUUUGUGAGGACCGGUCCAUUCACCGGCCCGUAUCCAAUUGGGCUAGUGGGCCAGCCCAAUGAAGCCAGCCAUUUGGAGUCCGCCACCUCGUCCUUAAGGGGAGGGGCAGAUGUCAAUAGAAGGGAGGUGUUGCUGCCAGGUUUAAAUACAGUGACAAUCGCUUAAAAACCUCUCGACACGUCGCUUAGAACCCCCCAAACGCCUUCCUUCCUCCUGGUACGCUCCCUCCCAAAUCCGGACGCUGCCAGAUCUCAGCACCUCGUCGGCUGGACAUCUACGCCGACAUCCCCGCCAUAGCAGCUGACCUCCGGUGGUCGCCAGAGCCUCUCUUCACCUUACUCCAUCACCGACACCCGCUGCUUGGGUCAGUGAGGUAACAUCCAUCCAUUUCUCCGUCCCUUCCUGAUGUUCAUAGCCUUGCUUUUCCUCCCAAUCUGCUCAGGAUAACAAAGAAAAGAAAGAAAGAAAGAAACAAAGAAGCAAAGAAGAAGAAAAAUAAGAAAAGAGGAAGAGGGGACUCACCGGGGAGACGUCACGUGCGGCGGCGGCCGGCUUCGGCUGCGAACGGCGCUGACACGGGCGUCGGCCGCGGGCCAGCCGAGGAUGCCGCCGGCACGGGCGUCGGCUGCAGGCCGGCCGAGGGCACCGCCGGCUGUGGCCGACCUCUCCCGAACUCACUGCCUCCCCUCGCAGGAGAAGAAAGGGGGAAAGAAAAGAGGGAUCGGGAGAGAAGGAAGGAAAGAGAGGAGGAGAGGAAGCUCUGGGAAGAAGAGGGAACAGGGACUCACCGAUUCGACGUAGCGUGCGGUGGCCACCGGCUUCGGCCGCGAGGGCCGCCGGCACGAGCCUCGGCCGCAGGCCAGCCGAGGAUGCGGACGUCGAGCGUCGGCCGCGAGCGCGGCCGAGGGCGCCGCGGGCUUCGGCCGAGGGCACCGCCGGCCGUGGCAUGACCCCAAGCUCGGCCUCUCCCAAGCCGCCGCCUCUUCUUCCUUGAGAUGGGAAGGGGAGGAGGUUAGA